CCAUGUUUUUAUUGACCUGGAACUCUAGUUUAACAGGAAGUACAUUAGUUUUGGAAGUCAGAAGAAUCUGAGCCGGAAUAGGAAUAGGAUCACUAACUUCACUUCUACUUUUAUUUAUUUAUGUUUGAGAAGUUGAGGAAUGGUGGAUGGAAGCUUCAAAGAUGACAAAGCACCCUCUCAUAAUUGAAGAAUGGAAUGGAUCUUCUUCUACCAAGCUUUUCAAAACCGCCACUAUCACUUUCUCCCCUUCUCUACAAAUCCAAAGAUCAGUUAAUGGUUUCAACCAUGUUUGGAGACGAUUCCUCGAUGCCUUCGUUCCCGAGGGUUUCCCAGGCAGUGUGACUCCAGAUUAUGUCCCUUUCCAAGUAUGGGACUCUUUGCAGGGACUUUCAACAUAUAUAAGAACAAUGCUUUCUACACAAGCUCUUUUGAGUGCUAUUGGAGUUGGUGAGAAAUCCGCAACUAUUAUAGGUGCAACUUUUCAGUGGUUCUUGAGAGAUCUAACGGGAAUGCUUGGAGGCAUAUUAUUCACACUUUAUCAGGGAUCAAAUCUUGAUAGUAAUGCAAAAAUGUGGCGUUUGGUCGCAGAUCUCAUGAAUGAUUUAGGAAUGUUGAUGGAUCUUCUUUCCCCUUUGUUCCCUUCAGCUUUUAUUUUCAUUGUUUGCUUAGGGAGCUUGUCAAGAUCAUUCACCAGUGUUGCCAGUGGAGCUACCAGAGCUGCUCUGACACAGCAUUUCGCCCUCCAAAAUAAUGCUGCGGAUAUAGCUGCCAAGGAAGGAAGCCAAGAGACAAUGGCAACAAUGAUUGGCAUGGCAUUGGGAAUGCUUCUUGCUCGCAUUACUACCGGAAACCCAGUCGCUAUUUGGUUUUCUUUUCUCUCUCUGACAAUGUUCCAUAUGUAUGCAAAUUACAAAGCUGUCAGGUGCCUCACUUUAGACUCACUGAACUUUGAGAGGAGUUCGAUUCUUCUACAACAUUUCAUAGAAUCUGGCCAAGUUCUCUCUCCUAAACAGGUUUCAACCAUGGAGCAUGUUUUGCCCUUAUGGACCACUUUAAGGUUGUCAAAGAGUGCUAAGCCCCUGCACACCAAUGUAAAACUAGGCUUAAGGGUCUCCACUCUUGAUCACUCUGAAAUGGCCAACUUUCUGACUUCAGCUGGAUCAUUUUACAAUGAAGUAUUUACUGGUGGAGAGAAAGGGAACGGUCAGUGUUGUCGUGCACAAAGAUUCGACAGCUGAAGAUAUCUUGAAGUCGUAUAUUCACGCACUUGUUAUGGUCAAUCUUACGGUUGAACAAAAAUCUCUACAUUUGGAGUGCCAAUCAUGGAUGGAUAAGCACUACGAAAGCUUUGUUCAGAAGCUAAAGUUAGCAGGGUGGAAAGCUGGAAGGCUUCUCUCUCACUCAAUCAUAUGGAAAGCACACUGGUCAUUGGGUGAAAAAACUGACUAAAACCACUUUAGUUUAUAUUACAGCAAACAUGUCAAAUGGCUACCUAUUAGAGUAAAUUACAGCAAAAAAGAAAAAAGGAAAUUCAAUUUCUUAUUCACUGCUUCAAUGGUGCAAAUCAGACAACCUGGUUUAAACUGAGCUCAUGUCCGAGAUGGAAUCGGCAAAGAAAAAUUUGGAAUUUCAGAUCCAACAACAGGGAGUCGAUGUGUAUGAGUUAGAGACUAAAAAAAGUCAUAAUUAUUUUUCUUUAAGAAUUUUAUAUUUGACAAAGUUUUAACCAUUUAUUUGGAACAUUUGUUUUAUUUACUGAAUUAUUAUCAUUCAUUUUGAGUA